rnacentral:rRNA from 1 species
AGAGUUUGAUCCUGGCUCAGGACGAACGCUGGCGGCGUGCCUAACACAUGCAAGUCGAACGAGAUUCAGUCAGUAGCAAUACUGACGAAGAUCUAGUGGCGAACGGGUGAGUAGCACGUGAGCAACCUACCCCGAAGACCGGGACAACACCGGGAAACCGGUGCUAAUACCGGAUAUCCCCAUCGAGUCGCAUGGCUUGAUGAGGAAAUGGAUUCCGCUUCGGGAGGGGCUCGCGGCCUAUCAGCUUGUUGGUGAGGUAACGGCUCACCAAGGCGAUGAUCGAUAGCUGGUCUGAGAGGAUGAUCAGCCACAUUGGGACUGAGACACGGCCCAAACUCCUACGGGAGGCAGCAGUGGGGAAUAUUGGACAAUGGGCGCAAGCCUGAUCCAGCCAUGCCGCGUGAGUGAUGACGGCCUUAGGGUUGUAAAGCUCUUUCGCUCGGGACGAUAAUGACGGUACCGAGAUAAGAGCC